UAAAUUCUACGGGAGGCAGCAGGGGGGGAUAUUGCACAAUGGGGGGAACCCUGAAGCAGCGACGCCGCGUGGGUGAAGAAGCGCCUCGGCGCGUAAAGCCCUGUCAGCAGGGAAGAAAAUGACGGUACCUGAAGAAGAAGCCCCGGCUAACUACGUGCCAGCAGCCGCGGUAAUACGUAGGGGGCAAGCGUUAUCCGGAUUUACUGGGUGUAAAGGGGGCGCAGACGGCGAUGCAAGCCAGGAGUGAAAGCCCGGGGCCCAACCCCGGGACUGCUCUUGGAACUGCGUGGCUG
rnacentral:rRNA from 1 species